rnacentral:rRNA from 1 species
AUUGAACGCUGGCGGCAUGCCUUACACAUGCAAGUCGAACGGCAGCACGGGAGCAAUCCUGGUGGCAAGUGGCGAACGGGUGAGUAACAUAUCGGAACGUGCCCAGUCGUGGGGGAUAACGCAGCGAAAGCUGUGCUAAUACCGCAUACGAUCUACGGAUGAAGGCGGGGGAUCGCAAGACCUCGCGCGAUUGGAGCGGCCGAUAUCAGAUUAGCUAGUUGGUGAGGUAAAGGCUCACCAAGGCGACGAUCUGUAGCUGGUCUGAGAGGACGACCAGCCACACUGGAACUGGGACACGGUCAAGACUCCUGCGGGAGGCAGCAGUGGGGAAUUUUGGACAAUGGGCGAAAGCCUGAUCCAGCAAUGCCGCGUGCAGGAUGAAGGCCUUCGGGUUGUAAACUGCUUUUGUACGGAACGAAACGGUGAGCUCUAAUACAGUUUGCUAAUGACGGUACCGUAAGAAUAAGCACCGGCUAACUACGUGCCAGCAGCCGCGGUAAAAC